UGGGGAAUUUUGGACAAUGGGGGAAACCCUGAUCCAGCCAUCCCGCGUGUGCGAUGGAGGCCUUCGGGUUGUAAAGCACUUUUGGCAGGAAAGAAACGUCAUGGGUUAAUACCCCGUGAAACUGACGGUACCUGCAGAAUAAGCACCGGCUAACUACGUGCCAGCAGCCGCGGUAAUACGUAGGGUGCAAGCGUUAAUCGGAAUUACUGGGCGUAAAGCGUGCGCAGGCGGUUCGGAAAGAAAGAUGUGAAAUCCCAGAGCUCAACUUUGGAACUGCAUUUUUAACUACCGGGCUAGAGUGUGUCAGAGGGAGGUGGAAUUCCGCGUGUAGCAGUGAAAUGCGUAGAUAUGCGGAGGAACACCGAUGGCGAAGGCAGCCUCCUGGGAUAACACUGACGCUCAUGCACGAAAGCGUGGGGAGCAAACAGG
rnacentral:rRNA from 1 species